rnacentral:rRNA from 1 species
GUUUAUUACCGAUUUUACAACUCCCAAACCCCUGUGAACAUACCUAUCGUUGCCUCGGCGGUGCCCGCUCCGGCGGCCCGCCAGAGGACCCCAAACUCUUGUUUUAUACAGUAUCUUCUGAGUAACACGAUUAAAUAAAUCAAAACUUUCAACAACGGAUCUCUUGGUUCUGGCAUCGAUGAAGAACGCAGCGAAAUGCGAUAAGUAAUGUGAAUUGCAGAAUUCAGUGAAUCAUCGAAUCUUUGAACGCACAUUGCGCCCGCCAGUAUUCUGGCGGGCAUGCCUGUUCGAGCGUCAUUUCAACCCUCAAGCCCCCGGGCUUGGUGUUGGGGAUCGGCGUGCCCUCGCGGCGCGCCGUCCCCGAAAUCUAGUGGCGGUCUCGCUGUAGCUUCCUCUGCGUAGUAGCAACACUCGCACUGGAUAGCAGCGCGGCCACGCCGUUAAACCCCCCACUUCUGAAAGGUUGACCUCGGAUCAGGUAGGAAUACCCGCUGAACUUAAGCAUAUCAAUAAGCGGAGGAAG